UUACCUGAACUCCUAAAAUAUGUGUGCCUUUCUAGAGACUUGAAUCAUAAUCUUAAGACUUUUAAAGCUAGAAAGGUCUUCGUCCGGUCCAGCCUCCUUGCCAAAGGAGGAAAGUGAGUCCCAGAGCAGUUAGGUAGCGUGUGCCCAAGGUCAUGAAGCAGGAGCAUACUGCUGCUGGAGAGCAAAUCAAAGAGAUAUUUAAAAACCCACUAAACAUAAACAUGCAAGCCCAUAUCACGUAAUUUCACCGGAAUAAGUCUGUGAUAAGGAUCACAUUUCCCUUUAUGUUUUUCCAACAACAGCUCAUGAUACAAUUUGUACGGCUCCUGGUAACUUUUACUGGGGAAAAUUUGGGGGAAAAAAAACAACAACAACAAAAGUACCAUGUUUCAAAAGGAACCAGAUCUGAUAAGGCGGCAGAAAUAUUUACUCCAUUAUUUCAAGAGGCAGGUUCUUUGUUUCUCAGACGCUUCCUGUUUUAAAAAUAGCUUUCCACAACUGUUCCAGGACUAGGAUGUCCUUUUAAAUGAAACGGGCUUUGAAGAUGCAAUUUCAUUUCAGUGGCAGAUAAUCGGCCAGCCUUUUGCAGGAGGCGGCUCGGACCAGGUAUCCUGGACCCUUGGGUGCCGGUCCCGCGGCAGCCGGGGCUGGGUGGCUGGACAGUGAGGAGGUGGGGAAGCAGCCAGCACAGGUGCAGUGGAUACGUAAAAAAGCAACGGGGCAAGAAGAAACAAACCUUUUCCAAGACCGUCAAAAUGCUGAGCCACCGGCGCUUUGGGGCUUUGAGGCUCCGGGCAAAUGACUACAAGACGCGGAGCCUCGGUUUUCCCACCAGGAAAAUGCACGGUCGCCUUGCCUCGCCUGCCAGGUGGCUCUGAGGCUGAAACAAAAUGAUGGAAGCUGAAUCAUUGCAAACACGGAGAGGGGUUCACCUCAUGCCCACGUGCAGAGCUGUGACCACCUUGGGGAGCAGUGACACGGUGACUGCCACCUGAGGGGAGGAAGCCUGAGGAAUCGCCUCCAGCCACAUUCUGGAAGCUGCUGGCUCUUCCAGAGAGGAUGGGGGGCACGCCCCUCAGAGGUCAGGAAGCCCACAGGCUUCGUGCGAGGCCCCAGACCCACGUCACUGCCAAGGACAGAGAAGCCAGGCGGUCUCCUGCGCACCAGGGAAUCCCACACCCUCCAGGACCCCGGGGGCCCCUCGUCCAUAACCUGGAAAAGGGAGAUUUAAUUUCCCAAUAUUGGUUCAUUAGUUCUAACAAAUGUACCAUUAUGAGUACAAGAGGUUAAAAACAGGGGAAUUUGUCAGGGGUUUAUGGGAACCCCUUUGCAUUAUCUUUGUGAUUUUUCUGCAAAUCUGAAACUGGGUCUAAGAAGUAAAGUUUACUAAAGCGUAAGAACAAGCAAAUAAAUACGUCUGUUAGAAUGAUUCCCUGGAGGUGAUAAAGCAUGUGCAUUGGGGGGCAGGGGGGCUGAGAAGCAGCAGGCACGGGGGCAGGGGUGAGCAGCCCUGCCUUGGCUGGGGAAGGGGAGCAGGCAGAGACCUUGGCCCAGAGAUACACAACAAACACCGAAAAGGAACUUUUCCAAAGAAGGGUCUUAGAAUCUGACCCAGAAGGGGCUGGGGCUGGGUCCCCUGAGAUUUCCCGGAAUGGUUGAUCCUGACAUUCCCAUCUCGUCCCCUCCCGAACCUGCGUGGUUUGGGGGUCAGAGGUUCUCUGCUGCAUUUUCUCUGGAUAAAGGCUCUUCCCAGGC